CCGGCCGACCCCCGCCGCGGGGCGUGUGUGCGCGCGGGGAGAGACUGCAGAGGCCGGGUGACUCGUGCUGAAGGAGAAAGGCAACAAAAAAUAAAAAAGGAACAGAUGACUUCAUUCUCGGGAAGGCUCCGUCCUACGUGGACCAAUUUCCUGGGGACACAGCUCGGCUGCCGUUGGAAGCACUUAAAACUAAACCAGAUAAAGACCAGAAAAUUCUCAGCAUUGCCUGAGCCGAUCAAGGGCAGGUUGGUGGUGGGCAAAGUGAGGCCCAGAGAGGAGAAGAGACCUGACCGAGAUCUGCCACUGGUUAGAGGUGUUCUUGCCUUCCAUUAGGGUUCUUCACUACCCCACUCUGAUCCUUCUGUGGAAUUAUCUGUACGGAUCAUAAGUUCAGGAGCUGGGGGGCAGAAGGCUCUGAAGUCAGACUGCCUACGUUCAAGUACUUACUUCUAAGUGAGACCUGGGACAAAUGAAUUCUUCUCUCUGAGCCCCCACGGUCUUGUGUGUUAAGUGGGGUUGACAGCACCAGCCCUGGGUUGUCUUAAGGAAUAAAGGUGGCCCAGGAAAAGUCCUGGGACUAACA